AAUUCCUCAAGAAAACCAUCAUGUGAUCAUUAUGGUAAAAAUCACCUUGCAGAAAGACCCUGUGCGUGUUCUCUUGCUGUUGCGUCCGUUGGUGCCUUUUUGCUUCUUCAAGUCAAAAGGAUGGGAAUUUUAAGCCUGCUGGUUUGAUAGAUCAAGUUCUCCCAAGAUCUCGAAGAAAAGAGAAAUCAAAAGGUCUUCCUCCACCUAUACAGAAUUGAGGCUGCACAUCAAGAAAAUCCUCAUCCACAAGUGGUGAUUAUGGCAUAAAUCUUGAAUCUAUCCCUACCCAUGAUAUGCAGAAAAGCAGCAGGUAUGAGACCGAAAUCUGCAGUAUUAACAAAAAUCCAGCUGCUUUUAGCGUGCCACAAGAUCUGAAAUUUGGAAAAUCAAUUUCUUCUGAGAAUAGAACUGGCUUAAUCAAUAUGGAUGGGCACAAGAAAAAGAGGGAUUUAAAGCUCACUUCUGUAAAAGAACGGGCUCGACGCCGAAUUGCAUGAGCUUCUCCCAGAUUUCAAUACUAGUAGCAGUUCACUUCCAAAUUCAUCUCUCAUUGAAAUAAUGGUUAUAGGGCACAUCCUUUUCAAGUGCAUUAGACAAAACUGUUUCUUGAAUUUCCAGUUGAGUCUUCAUUUGUUUCAUUUUCAGCAGAUGGAAGUUUUUCUUGCUGGUUCCUGCAGAAAGAGAAAACCUUGUAUGCUUAGUGGAGGAUAUCAGAUAGAAAUGCGUGCCAGAUUAUGCAUGGUAACUGAUCUUUACUCAGCUCAGGAGUGAUGAUUCUCUUGGCUCUGUAUCUUAUUGGGCCUUUUCCGUGUCCAGGAUGAACUAUGAGAGCCUUGUUAGGUGCGAGGUGAAGGCCUGUAUAUACCUACAUAUACCAUAAUCUUGCAAAAAUAAACUUUACAUAUAUGCAGUUUUGAUUUUGGGUCUGUAUGGUGGUGUUAUAUUUGACAAGGUUUCAUAAAAGCCCCAAUAUUGCCCUUUGGUUUUCUAGGGCCUCACAUGGUUCUUCAGUUUUCUUGGGUUUUAGUCUUAUGCUCCGUGCCUGACCAAGAAAUGGGAAUGGAAACAGAGAACAGGACAGUAGGUAUUUUUGGACUCCAAUCGAUGUAAUAGAGAGGACCCCAAAGCUUGUAAUUUAUUUAGUGUUUUACCAAAUAACUUGGUGAGAAUGAGACAAUGUUUAAUGAAAUUUGGGUGCUUCAGUAUGUAGAAUCAUUGGAGGAUGACAUUAUUGAAAGUUUGAGCAACAGUAUCCCCUAUUUUGAUGUUUAUGGGUGAUUUUAUGCGAUGACUGAUGCUGCAGAAGCCUGAAUCCUGAAUAUUUGGCACUUGUUGGGAUGAAGGAUUU